UUCCUCCACACCUGCCCAGUUUCCGUGAAAAGUAGCCGUUUUUUUGUAGCAGUUCUGAUAGGCACAUUCUGAACAAAGUUGGGCAUCUUUUUAUUAGUCAUUUACAUUUAUGUUUCUGCAGACAACAUUCAUGUCGUUUGCAUUUUCACAAUUAGGUCCUUGGCUGUUUUUCCUUAUUCUCUUGUGUGAAUACACUGUAACAAGUGAAAGAAAUUCACCUUUCGUUACGUGUAUUACAAAUAUAUCCCCGGUUUGCCUUUUGACUGUGACAUUUCUUUGUGUUGCUGUUAUAUUCAAGUUCCGUUUUUACGUGGUCAAAGUUACCUGUGUUUUUCUUUAUGUCCUCGGUGUUAUAGAUGGUCGGAAAAGCCUCCCCCACACCAUGAUAGAGACAGAUCCACAGAUGUAGCGAUAGAUGUGUGCGUAUACAUACACACGCGUGUUCUCCCCACAACAAGAUUUCUAGCUGUCUCUCUCUGCCGUCUCCCGUGCUGCUCGGGCGGCCUGGGCUUUCCGUUGCACGGUCCCUUUAGGCUGGCCCUCGGGCCGCCAGGUGGGCCGGAUGCGUCACCUGGGGCAUCCUUUCCGGCUGCCCCGCUCUGGGGCCGCCUCCCGGGACUCGCCGGGCGCGGGCUCGGGGCGCCGCCGGCAGAGCCCGCGAGCUCGUCACUUCCCUUGCAUCCCCGGGCCACGGUUCCCAGGCGGGGCGGAAGUCCUCCUCCGCCCUGCACCGGAGCCGGCCCUUCCCGCAGGCUCUCGUCCCGGCUUAUCGGGGUCAUCGGUGGCCCGGGGCCCGCCGGCGCGGAGCGUCCCUGGAAAGCUCCGAGGCACGUGGCGAAGGAGUGUUGUGAAGCGCUUAGGUGCUGGGUGCGGAGGUGGGAGAAAGGGCCGACGACGCUCCACACCCCGCUGCGGGCUCGGCCGCUCCCAGCCGGCGGGGAAAUCCCCGUCUAGGAAGAUUAGCCCUGAGCUAACAUCUGCUGCCAAUCCUCCUCUUUUUGCUGAGGAACACCAGCCCUGACCUCACAUCCGUGCCCAUCUUCCUCUACUUUACAUGUGGGACGCCUACCACAGCAUGGCUUUUGCCAAGCGAUGCUAUGUCCACAGCCGGAGCUGAACCACGGCAAACCCGCGGCCACUGAGCAGCAGAAUGUGCAAACUUGACCGCUGCGCCACCAGGCCAGCCCCGUAACCAUUUUUAAGUGUAUAAUUCAGUGAUAUUAAGUACAUUCACCAUGUUGUGUAACCAUCACCACUACCUAUAAUGAUAUUUUCAGAACUUUGUCAUCACCCAAACAAAAACUAUCCCAUGAAGGAGUAACUCCCCAUUUUCUUCUCACCCCAGCUCCUGGUAACCUCCAUUCUACUGUCUGUCUCUGUGAACUUGCCUCUUCCCGAUACUUCAUAAAAGUGGAAUCAUACAAUAUUUGUCCUUUUGUGAAUAGCAUAUUUCAUUUACCAUGUUUUCCAUGUUACAUGUUGUACAUGUAUCAGAAAUUCAUUCAUUUUUAUGGCUGAAUAGUAUUCCAUUGUGUGUAUAUAUGGAAUUUUGUUUAUCGGUUCAUCUGUUAGGUCAUUUCCACCUUGUGGCUAUUGUGAAUAACGCUGCUAGAAACAUUCGAGUAUGGGAUCUGUUUGAGUCCGUGUUUUCAUUUCUUUUAGCUAUAUACCUACAAGUGGAAUUGUUGGGUCGUGUGGUAGUUCUGUUUAACUUUUCCAGGAGCCACCAAACUGUUUCCCACAUUUUAUGCUGCAUGCCAUUUGACAUUCCCACUAGCGAUGCUCGGGGGUUCUCGGGUUCGGAACAAGCCCCCUCAAGAUGUGCACGUGGACUAUUUUGAGCUAAAGACAAUUGAGACCCUGUGGGCUCAAGAGAAACUUUUCCCUCUCCCUUCAAGAAUUUAAAUUGGGGGCCUUGCCCAUAAAAAGAGUUAUUACCAGAAAUAAAUUUUUAUGACCUAUCUGUAUGGCACAGCAAGCCUC
ensembl:lncRNA